rnacentral:lncRNA from 1 species
UGUACCCAAUAAAAGUUAUUUCUAAUAACUGGGCUAUUAUUUUUAAUAUUGCAGAUCCAUUUUAUAACUUCCUACAAACAACAGCUUGUCUUCCUUUCUAGUCAAUAUUGUUUUAAAAUCUGGGGACUGCUUCAUCUCAGACAAAAUGGGAGACACCAUGCUCGUUUGUAUAAGGUUCAAGGACACAACUGAAGCGACAGCCCAGGAGCUGUGAUGGGGACACGGAGGGAAACGCCACAACCCAACUAGCAGAGGUCAAGAGCAAAGGGCAUGGAUCAGGCUUCUAUCACAGUCUAUGUAGAGAGAUGCUAGGCUCUAUAAAGCAUGAGACUGUACUCUUACUAAACAAAAAAUGAUUCAGACACAAGUGUUCCCUCAAGACACUGCCAAUCUGUUUCAGGAGAUGAGACACGUUCAAAAAUUGUUAUACUCAACAUUACCAAGUAAACGGCACUAAGGCACAAAGAAAAAUGGCCACACAGGAAAAUGCUACAGGGAGCACCAGAAGCAGGCAGCAUUUUGGAUGCAAGAGUUCCUGAAGGAGGGGUUUGAGUGAAGCUCUACAUCACGAUGCAGGCACACAAAGAGAAACACGGAGGCGCAACACAGGAUUCACUCAGGAAGAAAACAAAGCUCAUUUCGCCAAAGAUAAAUGUUUACCUUCCAGUGUUAGAUGAAAUUCAAUACCACAUUGGCCUAGUACCAUUUGGGAAUCACAUGUUUCUUCAGAUUUUGAUAAACAGUACUGUGGGUAGUCAGGAGGGCAGAAGUAAACACCGCCUGUGAUCAAAAGGGACUGGCCAGGGUGAUACCUUUGCUCCUUAACAAUAAAAGAAACACUUGUCAUCCGGGCUUAAGGAGUGUAAACUGGCAAUAAGAAAGGUACAGAGAGCGAGAACUCAAGCAAAACACAUUAUUACACAAUUCUGUCUGGGGCUGGUGUUUGCAGAGAUAUUACAGAAUACACUGUCAGUAUGGUCCCUUGUCGCCAGGCCUUGCUCAGGAGCAAGGACUGACCUAGCAGAUUCAUCUCCACUUAUUUCCAAGCCCAUGCAAGAAGCCUGUUGCCACAGAUAGGCAGGCUUGGGAAGUGGCCAUGCGGCCCAGGGUUGGGCCACGUCCGUGGGUCUAGGACGGUGGGUAAUUUUCCCUCCCAUCCCUCAAGGAGCUGUCAAAUCUUGGUGAUGAC